rfam:Felis catus isolate Cinnamon breed Abyssinian chromosome E2, whole genome shotgun sequence.
AGAUUUGAAGGUGAUCUGGCUGUGACAUCUGUCACCUCAUUGAUCGCCAGGAUUGAUUCAGCUGAUCUGACUGGCUAGGUGGGUGUCCCCUUCCUCCCUCAUCGCUGCAUUGUGUCCUUCCCAAAGCUGCACUAUCAGUCAAGGACGACCUUCCCCAAUAGAGGAAGACCAUUCAUUCUUCAGUCAAGGGAAUAUGAGUAGCUGCGCUCUCCUGCUAGAACCUCCAAACAAGCUCUCAGAGAGGCGCAGUGACUUGUCUAAGGUCACCCAGCAGGGCCCAUCCCCAAUUCUCAGGCAUUCAUUGAUU